UUAUUAUUAUUUUUGCAGUUAACUAAAUUAAUUAAAAAAAAUGAGAAUGAUAAUACUUAUGAUUCACGCGUUGUAUUCUAUUAAUAUCACAAUGUGUAAAAUUUAGAUUUUUUAAUUUUUAUGUUGAAUGUAAGUAAUGUGAUAUUGUGCAUAAGUAAAAUGAUAUUGUGUGGUAUUACUAAAAGCCUGUUGAUUGGGUAACAAUACCAAAAAUUUUUAGUGCUUGAUGAGUGAUGUUAGCAUCAAUUAACAUAUCAUUCGAGCUGUCUGUUUUCAUAGUGGUUAGAGCUUUGAUUGUAAAUUCUAGAUGAGAGUUUAACUGAGAAGACAGAGAUUUCCUAAUGUUGGCUUCUGCCUCGGUGAGGGGGAACUUUUGUCUACCAUUGAGUUGCUUCAUUGUUAUUUUUAUGUGCUUGGUAUCUCUUGCAGAAGGUUUCAUAGUGUGAGAUUGUUUUGUUGCCAAAUAAUAGUUUAGAAAUGGUAAAAAGAAACUCUAUCCUUAGGUAUUUGAUAGUUUAUUUCGCUUAAUUGUCUUUGGGGUACAUCUGGAAGGAAAACCAAAAGGAAAUGUUGGUUUGCGCUUAUGUUUUGUUUUGUAUAUAUAUUUCCUCUAUUUCUAAGCGACCAGCCAACGCCUGACCUAAACAGUUUUACCUUCAAGUACCAACCAUUCGAACGUUUGGCCUAAAAAGUAGCUUUUCUGGUCUUAAGAAGAAGGAUGUGCAAGUCGCUUUACCAAUUAUAUUUGACUGUGAUCUUCAAAUAAUCUUAGCAUUGUUUGAUUAUGGAUUGGAGAGUAUUUCAUUCAUUUGUGAUAUGCCACUUUGUACCAUCUGAUGUUGGGUUCAAAAUUUCCAAUCUAAUUGAACUGGCAUAAUGAUUUUAUUCUUUUGCGUGUAGAAUUUUAAGUUAUUAUGAAAUAAUUGCAGGGAAGACAAGCUUUGAGGUCUUGAAAGCAGUGGUGAGGCUUCAAGCUAUUUUCAUGGGAGGCAGGUGCGGAAGCAAGCUGCUGUGGCACAGAGGUGCAUGCAAUCUCUUCUUUGAGUUCAGUGUCAUGUACAGGCAAGGACUGUGAAAGUAUCUUCUGAAGAGCUGCUGAUCAGGUUAAGCCAACUAAGCUGGCUGAGCAAGGAUGGUGUAAUAUUCUUGGAAUGGCAGCUGAAGUUAGAGUGAAACUAAAACUGAGGCAAUAAGGAGCAAUCAAGAGGGAGAGAGCAAAUGCUCAGCGAUCAAGAUCAUGUGCUAGUCCUAAUUCAAGAGCAAACAAGCCAGCAAUGCCCCUCAAGCAUCAUAGGCUAGACAAGAACAACCAGGAGUGGAGUUGGCUAGACAGUUGGACGGCAACCAAGCCUUGGUAAAAAGCGGCUGUUGGAAGAGAUUCAUAUGGACCUGUCAGAGAUGAUGACAACUCUUUUUUCUCGAAAAAGUGAAGAUAAUAUUGCAGGGUUAUAUAUAUUCCAGUUCUUCUGAACGUUACCCUGUAAAAGGAGAAAGGGUUAAUGCCACUGCUAAAACCUGUGCCGAACGUCAAAUUACUCACUCAUCCUUCUCCUCAAGUUCUGAAUCUCCAUAUGGUGAGGCCUCACCCUCAACUUCAUCUUCAUCUGCAUCUUUAACUCCAGUGUCAGACAAUAUUCUUACGGUGGAAGGAGCAGAAGAUAGAUAUUACCAUAAACCAAGCUACAUGAGUCUCACAGAAUCAACUAAAGCGAAGCAGAAAGACUACAAGGUUCUCUUCUUAUAGGAAUCCAUUGGCAUUUUCUGAAGGAGAUAAUAACAGAAUCUGUGCUAAUUGUGAUCCUUCAUCCAAUUGGUCCAAGAAUUUGUACCCACCAAUGCCUUUGGGUCAAUUUGACUGGUUCAAGAAUCAAUGAUGCCAUGGGAGAUAAAAUUUGCUUAGCACAACAGCUUGUUGCCCAUUGCAAAUUGUGAUACCAGUCUUUACUUUUGCAUCAAAGGCUUGAUGUUGAGGCGUGGAAACUAGUACUAGAAUCCUGGUUGAGAUACAUAUACAUGUAUUAUAUAGAAUUUUGGACUGCUUGUGUUCAUAUUAUUUUGAAAUCUGUUGCUUCCAUAAUACCAGUCUUUUCUUUUAGUCUAGGACUUCAUCUGAAAAGGUUUCAGGUAAGUUGUGGAAGGCAUUAAAGUCAACCUUCUGGGUUUGCUUUGUUCAAGAGAGAUGAAACUUUUGACUAAUCCAUGUAGGAUCUUCUUCAUUAAAUGAAAGGUUGAAAUUGUUGUUUUGUGAUUAA